GAUCCGUCAUAUAGUGGAUGUGAAAGGGGAGCAUUUGGGGAAUUUCAAUUACCAGAAAUAUCAUGCCGAUAAGUAAAGGGAUCUUUAGUUUGUGAAGGGUAGUGUUUGGCUAAAUGGUAUUCAUUUUAUAGCCUUUAUUUGCCCAAUGUUUGGUGACUUACAUUGAGGCAUGUGUUUAUUUAAGAUGCAUGUGAGUGUAGUAGUGCUUCAGUGAUGGUCUUUUCAUGUUCUGUGUGUUUUGCAAUGUAUUAAUUAAUGUAAGCCUCUUUCUGUUCCCUCUGUUAGUAGGUGGUGUGAGGACUGCUGCCCUGAGAACGCUGUGUCAGAGACACUUAGGCUGUGUGCAUUUUGGAAUGUUCCAAAUGUGUGUCACUUCCAUAAGGAAGAAGUUCCAAGCCUGCAAUUUAUCCCCUCCUUUCAUGUGUCUGUUAUGACUUUGUGGGCUCAACUGUCAACAACUGUCCAGGGCGAAGUCGGUCUACCCUGAUGGCACUACCUGAUGGCACUACCCUGAUGAUGUCUGUUAGCCAUGGCUGCUGCCCUCAACAUGGUGAGCCAUCCAGAAGUCCCAGCCUGGAGCCAGAGGCUGCUAUUGCAAGUCAGAUGGGAGAUGGCAUACAGUAUGUUAGGCAUCAGAAAAGUGGUGUUCGCAUGAAGGCAGAGUUGCCGCAGGCAAUUAUGAGAUUAGACACUUGACAUUUACUGCGAAAGGUACCAUCAGAGCACAUCUCCCUACCCU